CCUACGGGUGGCAGCAGUGGGGAAUAUUGCACAAUGGGCGCAAGCCUGAUGCAGCCAUGCCGCGUGUGUGAAGAAGGCCUUCGGGUUGUAAAGCACUUUCAGCGGGGAGGAAGGCGGUGAGGUUAAUAACCUCAUCGAUUGACGUUACCCGCAGAAGAAGCACCGGCUAACUCCGUGCCAGCAGCCGCGGUAAUACGGAGGGUGCAAGCGUUAAUCGGAAUUACUGGGCGUAAAGCGCACGCAGGCGGUCUGUCAAGUCGGAUGUGAAAUCCCCGGGCUCAACCUGGGAACUGCAUUCGAAACUGGCAGGCUAGAGUCUUGUAGAGGGGGGUAGAAUUCCAGGUGUAGCGGUGAAAUGCGUAGAGAUCUGGGGGAAUACCGGUGGCGAAGGCGGCCCCCUGGACAAAGACUGACGCUCAGGUGCGAAAGCGUGGGGAGCAAACAGGAUUAGAUACCCCAGUAGUC
rnacentral:rRNA from 1 species